GAUUAACGCUAGCGACAGGCCUAACACAUGCAAGUCGAGGGGCAUCAGAGUGUAGUAAUACACAGCUGGCGACCGGCGCACGGGUGAGUAACGCGUAUGCAACCUGCCUACUACAGGGGGAUAGCCCUAAGAAAUUGAGAUUAAUACCGCAUAAAACAGGGGAACCGCAUGGUUAUAUUUGUUAAAUGAUGAGAAUUGGUAGUAGAUGGGCAUGCGUUCCAUUAGCUAGUUGGGGAGGUAACGGCUCACCAAGGCGACGAUGGAUAGGGGCACUGAGAGGUUUGUCCCCCACACUGGGACUGAGACACGGCCCAGACUCCUACGGGAGGCAGCAGUGAGGAAUAUUGGUCAAUGGGCGAGAGCCUGAACCAGCCAAGUCGCGUGAAGGAAGACGGUUCUAUGGAUUGUAAACUUCUUUUUCAUGGGAGUAAAGAGCGCCACGCGUGGCGUUUAGCAAGUACCAUGAGAAUAAGCAUCGGCUAACUCCGUGCCAGCAGCCGCGGUAAUACGGAGGAUGCGAGCGUUAUCCGGAUUUAUUGGGUUUAAAGGGUGCGUAGGGCGGGGACUUAAGUCAGCGGUGAAAUGCACAGGCUCAACCUGUGAACUGCCGUUGAAACUGGGUUUCUUGAGAAUAGAUGAAGCAGGCGGAAUUAGUGGUGUAGCGGUGAAAUGCAUAGAUAUCACUAGGAACUCCGAAAGCGCAGGCAGCUUGCUAAGCUAUGACUGACGCUGAAGCACGAAAGUGUGGUUAUCGAACAGGAUUAGAUACCCUGGUAGUCCACACAGUAAACGAUGAUUACUAGUUGUUAGCGAUAUACCGUUAGUAACCAAGCGAAAGCGAUAAGUAAUCCACCUGGGGAGUACGCCGGCAACGGUGAAACUCAAAGGAAUUGACGGGGGCCCGCACAAGCGGAGGAACAUGUGGUUUAAUUCGAUGAUACGCGAGGAACCUUACCCGGGCUUGAAAUGCUUCUGACAGGAUUGGAAACAAUCUUUCUAGCAAUAGCAGAAGUGUAGGUGCUGCAGGGUUGUCGUCAGCUCGUGCCGUGAGGUGUCGGCUUAAGUGCCAUAACGAGCGCAACCCACAUCGGAAGUUACUAACAGGUGAUGCUGAGGACUCUGCCGAGACUGCCAGCGUAAGCUGCGAGGAAGGUGUGGAUGACGUCAAAUCAGCACGGCCCUUACGUCCGGGGCGACACACGUGUUACAAUGGCCGGUACAGCGGGUAGCCAUCAGGCAACUGAGCGCCAAUCCCGAAAACCGGUCCCAGUUCGGAUUGGAGUCUGCAACUCGACUCCAUGAAGCUGGAUUCGCUAGUAAUCGCGCAUCAGCCAUGGCGCGGUGAAUACGUUCCCGGGCCUUGUACACACCGCCCGUCAAGCCAUGGGAGCUGGGGGUACCUGAAAUACGUAACCGCAAGGAGCGUCCAAGGGUAAUACCGGUGACUGGGGC
rnacentral:rRNA from 1 species